AAAGAAUAAUUCAUGUGUAGAACAGAAUUAAAUAGGAUUUAAUUACUCUUAAAACACCCAUGGAAGAAAAGGUGGCCAUCUAUUGACGCUCUUUGUCGAUACACCCCCACAUGUACAUAUUCAUUUGCUUAAUACUGGGCAUUUGAUUUAUACUAGGUUUCACUCUGGGAGCUGGGACACAACAGCGAGCAAAAUAAACAAAGACUGUUUCCUGGAGCUUUGACUCUACUGCAGGAAGACGCAGAUGAACAAAACACCAUGGCUGCUGCGGUGGAGAGUGACUGCAAGGGGAGAGAGAAAACAAAGCAGAAGCGUCAGGGUGGGGCUGUGUUUACAAGUGCAGACCCGGGCUAGGAAAUGACCGAGGCCUGACCUAAGCAGGAGGAAAGCCAGUCACGCCAGGACUUUAAGGGAUGAGGAUGUCCACUACUGGAUGCUAUGGCGCACUGUGGCCCUCCACGCUGCACACUCGUCUGUUUGCCACUAGAUGAAGAUGUGCCCUGCUGGAGGCUACGUCCAGUCAGUGCUCAGACACAGCCUGGCUUUGCUCUACACCGAGAGUGCCAGCAGCAGUCCCACGUCCACUCACAGCCACGGCCUGCGGCAUCCACCCUGCCUCUGCAGAGCUACCACUCUUCAACAGGCUUCCACACUCUGCCACGCACAUCAGAAGUGAAGCAAUGUCACAACUGAAACUUAAAAUCGCGGUCUAGUCACACCUAACCUUGGCUGUCAAGUGUCAAAGACCCGGAGGGCAGCUCACCUAGACAACGAUGGGACCAGCGGCAGCCCUUCCCUCAGAAUCCAGCCGCUGUCCCUUGGCCAGCAGCAUCACUUUCAUGUUACCCAGAUCAUUUCUCCCUGUGCUCCUGUCUGCA